AGUGAACGCUGGCGGUAGGCCUAACACAUGCAAGUCGAACGGCAGCACAGUAAGAGCUUGCUCUUACGGGUGGCGAGUGGCGGACGGGUGAGGAAUACAUCGGAAUCUACUUUUUCGUGGGGGAUAACGUAGGGAAACUUACGCUAAUACCGCAUACGACCUACGGGUGAAAGCAGGGGAUCUUCGGACCUUGCGCGAUUGAAUGAGCCGAUGCCGGAUUAGCUAGUUGGCGGGGUAAAGGCCCACCAAGGCGACGAUCCGUAGCUGGUCUGAGAGGAUGAUCGGCCACACUGGAACUGAGACACGGUCCAGACUCCUACGGGAGGCAGCAGUGGGGAAUAUUGGGCAAUGGGCGCAAGCCUGAUCCAGCCAUACCGCGUGAGUGAAGAAGGCCUUCGGGUUGUAAAGCCCUUUUGUUGGGAAAGAAAAGCAGCAGGUUAAUACCCCGCUGUUCUGACGGUACCCAAAGAAUAAGCACCGGCUAACUUCGUG
rnacentral:rRNA from 1 species